GUUAUAAAACAGUGCCAAUGUUUUCAUGAAAGGGAGUAAGACUUGUGGUAUAAGAUAUCUUAAAUACAAGUUAGCAUUACAGCUUGUCCUUACAGAUUGAUGUUGGAAAUGGCUAUUAGAGUUGACUUUUAAAGAUAACAAUUACUGUGGCUGAAGGAUAUAAUUAUGUGAUUAAUUCUCCAUACUCCUUAGAGAUGUUGUGAAUGUUCUUAACAUGUUGACAGAUGGGGACUCUCUCUUCACAAGACAUCAGAUUUAACAUCCUCAUUCUGACACUGGACAUGGCUGCCAAUUUGUACAUCCUGCACUACCAAACAGAGGCCUUGUACAUUUGCAAGGGUUUUACUGCCAGUCUGUAGAAGACCAGGAGUGACCAUAUUUCCCUUUGGGGUCUUUCUAACUCUAUGGAACAGUUUCCAAUUUGAACGGUUCAUACAAAUCUUGCAUAAACAAGAGAAAGAAUGUAGUUGAUAAAUUCAAAAAUAAUAAAUGUAAAGAUUCUCCAUUUUCAACAAAAGUGGAAGUUUUAAUUAAGGUUAGUGUAUAAUGUGUUUUGAAUUUUCACUUAACUUUCUUUUCUUCUCUACCAUUAAAUGCUAUGGAUUUUUUUUUUUUAACUUGUGGCUCAACAGAUAAAAUGGUUCUUAUUAAGUUAACAUUAACAUUUGUUAAGAAUGGAGAAUCUAAAAAUAACAAAAAUAUUGUAAAUAUUUUUAGUAUUGCAAUGGUUUUAUUUGGAAAUCAAAAAUAUUAUUGUCAAAAUUGGUAUAAUGAUACAUUCAAGAGAUUACAGGUAGCAAUAUUUAAGUAAUCCUUAUUUACUACCAGUCACAGCCAUUUCUUGACUAAAUAUCAAACCUAUUGCUACAGGUAUACUUGACUCAGUUGUAAUGGAUCAUAAGUCUGACAGGGUCAAGGGGAGGUAAUGCACCUGUUUAAUGCCUCAUACUAGAAGUUUCUUAAGUGCUCAGUUUACCAAUAUAACUUAGACAUUCUCUUCUGUAAUUUGAACCGUACUAGAAUAUUGGAACUGUUGAACAAAGCAUCCAUUAAACUUUUCAUGCAUUGAGUUAUGCUAAGCAUCUUUGGCUGAAUUUUUGAAAAGUCCAAAAAAUAGGAGAAUAUUGAUGAAACAAUGUCCUUACUUUCAGGGAAUGUAAAAUAAUAUAGUUUCUGUAAAACAAUAA